rnacentral:rRNA from 1 species
UGCUAAUCUGCGAUAAGCGUCGGUAAGGUGAUAUGAACCGUUAUAACCGGCGAUUUCCGAAUGGGGAAACCCAGUGUGUUUCGACACACUAUCAUUAACUGAAUCCAUAGGUUAAUGAGGCGAACCGGGGGAACUGAAACAUCUAAGUACCCCGAGGAAAAGAAAUCAACCGAGAUUCCCCCAGUAGCGGCGAGCGAACGGGGAGCAGCCCAGAGCCUGAAUCAGUGUGUGUGUUAGUGGAAGCGUCUGGAAAGGCGCGCGAUACAGGGUGACAGCCCCGUACACAAAAAUGCACAUGCUGUGAGCUCGAUGAGUAGGGCGGGACACGUGGUAUCCUGUCUGAAUAUGGGGGGACCAUCCUCCAAGGCUAAAUACUCCUGACUGACCGAUAGUGAACCAGUACCGUGAGGGAAAGGCGAAAAGAACCCCGGCGAGGGGAGUGAAAAAGAACCUGAAACCGUGUACGUACAAGCAGUGGGAGCACGCUUAGGCGUGUGACUGCGUACCUUUUGUAUAAUGGGUCAGCGACUUAUAUUCUGUAGCAAGGUUAACCGAAUAGGGGAGCCGAAGGGAAACCGAGUCUUAACUGGGCGUUAAGUUGCAGGGUAUAGACCCGAAACCCGGUGAUCUAGCCAUGGGCAGGUUGAAGGUUGGGUAACACUAACUGGAGGACCGAACCGACUAAUGUUGAAAAAUUAGCGGAUGACUUGUGGCUGGGGGUGAAAGGCCAAUCAAACCGGGAGAUAGCUGGUUCUCCCCGAAAGCUAUUUAGGUAGCGCCUCGUGAAUUCAUCUCCGGGGGUAGAGCACUGUUUCGGCAAGGGGGUCAUCCCGACUUACCAACCCGAUGCAAACUGCGAAUACCGGAGAAUGUUAUCACGGGAGACACACGGCGGGUGCUAACGUCCGUCGUGAAGAGGGAAACAACCCAGACCGCCAGCUAAGGUCCCAAAGUCAUGGUUAAGUGGGAAACGAUGUGGGAAGGCCCAGACAGCCAGGAUGUUGGCUUAGAAGCAGCCAUCAUUUAAAGAAAGCGUAAUAGCUCACUGGUCGAGUCGGCCUGCGCGGAAGAUGUAACGGGGCUAAACCAUGCACCGAAGCUGCGGCAGCGACGCUGAUGCGUUGUUGGGUAGGGGAGCGUUCUGUAAGCCUGCGAAGGUGUGCUGUGAGGCAUGCUGGAGGUAUCAGAAGUGCGAAUGCUGACAUAAGUAACGAUAAAGCGGGUGAAAAGCCCGCUCGCCGGAAGACCAAGGGUUCCUGUCCAACGUUAAUCGGGGCAGGGUGAGUCGACCCCUAAGGCGAGGCCGAAAGGCGUAGUCGAUGGGAAACAGGUUAAUAUUCCUGUACUUGGUGUUACUGCGAAGGGGGGACGGAGAAGGCUAUGUUGGCCGGGCGACGGUUGUCCCGGUUUAAGCGUGUAGGCUGGUUUUCCAGGCAAAUCCGGAAAAUCAAGGCUGAGGCGUGAUGACGAGGCACUACGGUGCUGAAGCAACAAAUGCCCUGCUUCCAGGAAAAGCCUCUAAGCAUCAGGUAACAUCAAAUCGUACCCCAAACCGACACAGGUGGUCAGGUAGAGAAUACCAAGGCGCUUGAGAGAACUCGGGUGAAGGAACUAGGCAAAAUGGUGCCGUAACUUCGGGAGAAGGCACGCUGAUAUGUAGGUGAAGUCCCUUGCGGAUGGAGCUGAAAUCAGUCGAAGAUACCAGCUGGCUGCAACUGUUUAUUAAAAACACAGCACUGUGCAAACACGAAAGUGGACGUAUACGGUGUGACGCCUGCCCGGUGCCGGAAGGUUAAUUGAUGGGGUUAGCCGCA